CACGUAGGCACCAAGCGUUGUCCGGAUUUAUUGGGCGUAAAGAGCUCGUAGGCGGUUCAGUAAGUCGGGUGUGAAAACUCAGGGCUCAACCCUGAGCGGCCACCCGAUACUGCUGUGACUUGAGUCCGGUAGGGGAGUGGGGAAUUCCUGGUGUAGCGGUGAAAUGCGCAGAUAUCAGGAGGAACACCAGCGGCGAAGGCGGCGCUCUGGGCUGGAACUGACGCUGAGGAGCGAAAGCCAGGGGAGCGAACGGG
rnacentral:rRNA from 1 species